UACACGUAGUCAACAUGCCCAGGGGACGUGGAUAACCUCGGGAAACUGAGGAUAAACCGCGAUAGGUCAUCACUUCUGGAAUGGGUAAUGACUUAAACCUAUAUGGCCCCUGGAUUGGACUGCGGCCGAUCAGGCUGUUGGUGAGGUAAUGGCCCACCAAACCUGUAACCGGUACGGGCUCUGAGAGGAGGAGCCCGGAGAUGGGCACUGAGACAAGGGCCCAGGCCCUAUGGGGCGCAGCAGGCGCGAAACCUCUGCAAUAGGCGAAAGCUUGACAGGGUUACUCUGAGUGAUUUCCGUUAAGGAGAUCUUUUGGCACCUCUAAAAAUGGUGCAGAAUAAGGGGUGGGCAAGUCUGGUGUCAGCCGCCGCGGUAAUACCAGCACCCCGAGUGGUCGGGACGUUUAUUGGGCCUAAAGCAUCCGUAGCCGGUUCUACAAGUCUUCCGUUAAAUCCACCUGCUUAACAGAUGGGCUGCGGAAGAUACUAUAGAGCUAGGAGGCGGGAGAGGCAAGCGGUACUCGAUGGGUAGGGGUAAAAUCCGUUGAUCCAUUGAAGACCACCAGUGGCGAAGGCGGCUUGCCAGAACGCGCUCGACGGUGAGGGAUGAAAGCUGGGGGAGCAAACCGGAUUAGAUACCCGGGUAGUCCCAGCUGUAAACGAUGCAGACUCGGUGAUGAGUUGGCUUAUUGCUAACUCAGUGCCGCAGGGAAGCCGUUAAGUUUGCUGCCUGGGAGUACGU
rnacentral:rRNA from 1 species